AAUUCUAUUAAUGCAUAAAAUUAUUUCUCAUCUUCCACCUCAUAAAUUUGAGAUAUACUUAUAUCUUAAUUUUGAAAAGUGGUGGAAUGUCAAAUUUUAAACUAAAUAAAUUACUUUAUUGAGGAAAUUACAAUUCCUCUAAAAUAAAGAGAUCCAAACGUCCCGUAAUUCUAUUUGAGUAAGAUCUAUCUUAAGUGUAAGAUACUGUCGCACGCACGUGCACUUAGCUAUUAACAUUUACGGAUCGGGGAUCGGGUUGAUACGUUUUGUAAGUUUAUAGAGCGGGUAGGCACAGGAAGACAAGUGUGUAUUUUACUCGUUUUUUUUACAAGACUGGAGCAAAUCUGUUCUCCAGCUUCCAUGAAUUCCAUGGGCUUUCUAAAUUUCUGCCUCCGGCCCAUACAAAUUCCUCCUGAUGAAGGUUCGUCGGCCCAAACCAAGUAGCGUCUAGGGUUUUAGCCUCUCCAACCGCACGAUGGACACCGACGCGAGAAGGCAGGGGGAGAGAAAAUGGCGUAUUUGUCCCGCACAGCCGCCGCCGUCGCCGUCGCCGUGAGGUCGGCGGUCCGCUCCGCACCUCUCACUGGCCGCGUCCUCGGAGCGCCACUGCCUUCCCUUGCCUCGCCUUCCGCUGCCCGGUCCGCCCGAAUCCUCCGCAGGACGGCGGCCGCGGCGUCGGCGGGGCUGGAGACUCUAAUGCCGCUGCACAGCGCGGUGGCGGCCGCGCGGCUUAGGUCCUGCAUCGCCGUCGACUCCUCGUGCUGGAGCUCGCUCUCGCAAGGUUUAAACAAGCGCAUCUGAUCAUGGCUAGGAGCUGAGCACAGAAGAGAAGUGAGGACAACGAGUUAGAACGAAGUCAUCUCUUUUGCAGAUAUUUGUAACAUGUACUACUUUGGUUGUUGCUCUAUGUGUUUGCUCAUGUCUUCAAUGGAGCAUGCAAAAUAGUUCCUUGUAACUUGCUUGGCUCUUAUUUUCAGUUUGGUCAUGAGCUAUGCUGAAGGAAAAAACUUGUACUUGUAAUAAAAAAACACUUCAGUUUUUUCUUUAGGAUAUGCUUUGCCUUUAUGAGAGGAGAGGUGCACCUGAAGAAACCAAUGAACAUUAGGAAUUACAAACAAGGGCUGUAAUAAUGUGAUUGUUGUAAACUAAUUUUACCUUUGAUGUUCAUUGAAUCAUCCACAGAUGUACAACUGGCAUUUGUUGAUGUUGGGAUUUUAUUUACGUGGAUCCAUGAAUUACCUGCAGCUCCUCUUUCAAA